GUUGUUUAAAUGUUCCCUUUAUUUUUUUGAGCAGUGUGUGUGUAUAUAUAUAUAUAAAUAUACACACACACUGCUCAAAAAAAUAAAGGGAACAUUUA